CAGCCGCCGCGGUAAUACGUAGGGUGCAAGCGUUAAUCGGAAUUACUGGGCGUAAAGCGCACGUAGGCGGAUAUUUAAGUCAGGGGUGAAAUCCCAGAGCUCAACUCUGGAACUGCCUUUGAUACUGGGUAUCUUGAGUAUGGAAGAGGUGGGUGGAAUUCCGAGUGUAGAGGUGAAAUGCGUUGAGAUCGGAAAGAACACCAACGGCGAAAGCACUCUGCUGGGCCGACACUGACACUGAGAGACGAAAGCUAGGGGAGCAAAUGGGAUUAGAUACCCCCGUAGUCCCUGUCUCUUAUAC
rnacentral:rRNA from 1 species